rnacentral:tRNA from 1 species
GCGGUGCUGCGGGACCGGCGGCUGGGGCGGUUCUGGCGGGACCGGGAGCCGGCCGCGGUCUGGGAGCCGUUCAACCUGCUGCACCGGC